UACGUAGGGUGCAAGCGUUGUCCGGAAUCAUUGGGCGUAAAGCGCGCAUAGGUGGCUUUGUAAGUCCGUUGUGAAAGUCAAAGGCUCAACCUUUGAAUGCCGAUGGAUACUGCGGAGCUAGAGUACGGAAGAGGCGAGUGGAAUUCCUGGUGUAGCGGUGGAAUGCGCAGAUAUCAGGAGGAACACCAAUAGCGAAGGCAGCUCGCUGGGACGUUACUGACACUAAGGCGCGAAAGCGUGGGGAGCGAACAGG
rnacentral:rRNA from 1 species